AACGCACAUUGCGCCCCUUGGCAUUCCGAGGGGCAUGCCUGUUCGAGCGUCAUUACACCACUCAAGCCUGGCUUGGUAUUGGGCGCCGGGGUGCUCCCCGUGCCUCGAUUUCACCGGCUGGACCGUCCGAUUCUCAGCGUUGUGGCAACAAAUUCGCUGGCGGAGACGACGGUGCACGCCGUUAAACCUUUUAUCUCAGGUUGACCUCGGAUCAGGUAGGGAUACCCGCUGAACUUAA
rnacentral:misc_RNA from 1 species